CAGUAGCCGCGGGAACACGUAGGUGGCAAGCGUUGUCCGGAAUUAUUGGGCGUAAAGGGCUCGCAGGCGGUUUCUUAAGUCUGAUGUGAAAGCCCCCGGCUCAACCGGGGAGGGUCAUUGGAAACUGGGAAACUUGAGUGCAGAAGAGGAGAGUGGAAUUCCACGUGUAGCGGUGAAAUGCGUAGAGAUGUGGAGGAACACCAGUGGCGAAGGCGACUCUCUGGUCUGUAACCGACGCUGAGGAGCGAAAGCGUGGGGAGCGAACAGGAUUAGAGACCCGCGUAGUCCCUGUCUCUUAUAC
rnacentral:rRNA from 1 species